rnacentral:misc_RNA from 1 species
GAACAAAAUUGACAGUGCAAUCCCAACUUGUCCUUCCCCAAUAAAUGUGAGCGUAACCCCCAAACUGAACAAACAAAUAGUCAUUCCAAUCGUGCUCAGAUAGAGCAAGGGCUUUCUCCCAAGUUUGUCAAUUAGAAAUAUAGCAACCAAUAACCAAUAUGAAAACAGUCUUUGAAACGCCCACAGCAACUGUUGCAGCAAGAAGCUUUGUUUCAUCCUGAAUCCCAGCUCCUUUGAAGAUUUCAGGGCUGUAAUAAACAGUUGCAUCAAUUCCUGUGAUCUGUUGGAAGCACUGAAUUCCAAAACCAGUCACCAACAUCCGUCGAAGUGCAGGAGAAGGGCUGAGAAGUUCACGCCACACAGCCUUUUCUUCAUACUUGUCUCCAUUGGUAUUUCCUGCAGCUUUUUGUAUUUCUUCAAGUCUCUCCUCC